GCUUAGUAUAUAUUAUUGAUGUUGCAGUUAAAACGUUCGUAGUCGACCCUUAUUUACUAAUGUAUAUAAGGUCUAAGAUCUUGUUAUGCUGUCAGUAAAUAUUAUAUAGCUAUUAUAUAUGUUUCAUAUAUUUUAUGCUAUAUCUUACUUUGAGUGAAUCGGCGUGUUCCAUGCAGGCAUAAGCCGUGAACGAUUUAUCAUAGAAUAAAUACAUUAUAAUAAUAUUUUUAUGUCUGUUCAAAAAUAUUAUUUAUAAUAAUAAGAACGGUUGAGGGCAUUCAUAUUCAACUGCUAGAGGUGAAAUUCUUUGAUUAGUUAAGGAUGAACAAUGGCGAAAGCAUCUGCCAAGGACGUUUCUGUUGA
rnacentral:rRNA from 1 species